rnacentral:rRNA from 1 species
GUACACUCCUACGGGAGGCAGCAGUGGGGAAUAUUGCACAAUGGGCGCAAGCCUGAUGCAGCCAUGCCGCGUGUGUGAAGAAGGCCUUCGGGUUGUAAAGCACUUUCAGCGGGGAGGAAGGCGAUACGGUUAAUAACCGUGUUGAUUGACGUUACCCGCAGAAGAAGCACCGGCUAACUCCGUGCCAGCAGCCGCGGUAAUACGGAGGGUGCAAGCGUUAAUCGGAAUUACUGGGCGUAAAGCGCACGCAGGCGGUCUGUCAAGUCGGAUGUGAAAUCCCCGGGCUCAACCUGGGAACUGCAUUCGAAACUGGCAGGCUUGAGUCUUGUAGAGGGGGGUAGAAUUCCAGGUGUAGCGGUGAAAUGCGUAGAGAUCUGGAGGAAUACCGGUGGCGAAGGCGGCCCCCUGGACAAAGACUGACGCUCAGGUGCGAAAGCGUGGGGAGCAAACAGGAUUAGAUACCCGAGUAGUCCCAUGA